GAUGAACGCUGGCGGCGUGCCUAAUACAUGCAAGUCGAGCGAACAGACGAGGAGCUUGCUCCUCUGACGUUAGCGGCGGACGGGUGAGUAACACGUGGAUAACCUACCUAUAAGACUGGGAUAACUUCGGGAAACCGGAGCUAAUACCGGAUAAUAUAUUGAACCGCAUGGUUCAAUAGUGAAAGACGGUUUUGCUGUCACUUAUAGAUGGAUCCGCGCCGCAUUAGCUAGUUGGUAAGGUAACGGCUUACCAAGGCAACGAUGCGUAGCCGACCUGAGAGGGUGAUCGGCCACACUGGAACUGAGACACGGUCCAGACUCCUACGGGAGGCAGCAGUAGGGAAUCUUCCGCAAUGGGCGAAAGCUUGACGGAGCAACGCCGCGUGAGUGAUGAAGGUCUUCGGAUCGUAAAACUCUGUUAUUAGGGAAGAACAAAUGUGUAAGUAACUAUGCACGUCUUUACGGUACCUAAUCAGAAAGCCACGGCUAACUACGUG
rnacentral:rRNA from 1 species